ACACCUGAUCCAAUCUCUGGAGGGUACCGGCAAAUCUAUAGACAGCAGCUGGUCUCUGGGAAGUGGGUGGGACUGCAGGCUGUUCCCUUUUGUUUGACCAAGGAGAGAUAUUUCUGUUAAUUGACUGUUCUGAAGAGCUGGAUAGAAGUGAGAGCCCUAAGGAGUGCUGGGCUGGAGUUGAAGCGGGGGAGGUUUUCCCUCCCUCCUUGGGCCUCCGAGUCCUCCACUAGGCAAAUAGGUGGAGGACCAGCAGUUCCCGACCCUGUCCUCUCAGCACGUGGCGAGCAGAGGGCAGGGCUACGGAAGGAAGGUCGGUCCGUUAACACAGUUGGAAAGUGAAGCAAUGGGUUAGGCCUGGUUUUUUCCUAAGCAUGUGCUAUGACAAAGGAAGUUGCAACAUUUUUCUCUUUUUUCUUUUUAUAGAGUAAGAAGUAGGGAAAAAACCCAUCUUCCAGUAAACU
rnacentral:lncRNA from 1 species